rnacentral:miRNA from 1 species
GUGUGCCGAAAUGCUUCUGCUA